CGUGGGGCCAGCUGUAGGGCAUUAGCCAAUCCCGGUGUUCUCCUCCCUCUGCACUCCCAGGUCUCCCAGAACACUUCCCUCACAGAGCACCCCUGUCUUCCCAGCACUCAGGAGGCUGAGGCAGGACGAUUGCUGCUAGUUGGAUGCCAGCCUGAGCCCAGGGUGCUCCCGGGACCGCUGAGGCCCACCAGGACCUAUAACCCAGGCCACAGAGCCAGGGCACCCGGGAAGCUCCCUGGAGCAUGCCGGACCGGGCACGUGGACCCCCAUCCCAGGGACACAGGGCCAGAGCCACACCUCCGCCUCCUCCCAGGGGCGAGCCCAGGACGCGCCAGCGCGGCUGCCCAGCAGGGACGCCGGGCUCUCCCCUUCCGGUCCCCACAGCUGCCCUCUGCGCCUGCGCCAAGUGGGCCGGAACUGCGCGCCACUGCGCAGGCGCGAGACGCUGCUGGGAGGUGCCAGUCCGCGUCCCCUGGUCCCCUUGGCGCGCACGGGAACCCCUGCACCCCUGAAACCUCGGUCUUUUCGCUUUGUGGCUUUUUGGUUUUUGGAGCAUCCAGGCUGGCCUUAAACAACAACAAAUAAAUUUUCUCCAGGACCCUUUCGGCUGUGGGCCACCGACCCGGUGACUUUUUGGUUUGUUCUGUACGGGGAAUCGAACUCAGGACCUUGUGCUUGCGAGGCACGCCGGAUAACUUCGGAGGUCAGGCUUGUUCUUGUUCAUUUUGGGCGCUGACGCCCAACCCUGGACUUUUACACUGCGCUGCGUCCCUACACCUUUUUUUUUUUUUUUUUUUUUUUUUUUUUUUUGAGGCAGCAUCUCCCCCAAGUCGUUAAACUGCUCAUGCGGGGCUCCAGCCGGCCAGCCUCCUGCCUCAGCCUCCCAGAGUGCUGGGGUCACAGACGAGCUCCAGAACUGCAGGUGCACACGGAGAUCUUCUAGCAUCUGGCAGCAGCCCUGCGCCGGCCGCCCAAGCCCCCUCUGCUCCCCGCACCGCCGCUGAACAAUUAUUUCUCCUUUUAAAAGCGUUCUCUGGGGCCGGGGAUGUGGCUCAGUGGUUCCGCUGCCUGCUUCGCAAGGGCAAGGUCCUGAGUUCGAUCCCCGGUACCAAAAAUAAUAAUAAUAAUAAUAAUACCAAGAGAUUCCAGAGCCCAGGGAGAGAUCAGGUAGGCUCCGCUGGGGUGAAGGCUUCUAACAGGGCUCACAAAGCAAUCCUUGCAAGGGAAGCAGGGCGUGGCGGCACGCAGCCUGGGCUACAUAGACCCCGACUCAAAAAAUAACCCUCCCGCAAAACUCCUCGCAGGAAGCAGCCGGGGUUCCUGGGAACAGUGGGCAGAGAGCCAGGGGAGGGGCAGCUCCAGAUGACCCUUACCAAAGUCUAGGGACUUGCAAAUUAAGGCCUUGCAGCCCCAGAGACUCAGGAUCGCUCAGUCCCCAACCUGCCCCACCCUCCAGGGGCUGCAACUCUCAUUAGAAAAAUGUUUAUGUCCUGAUUCCAGGUUCUCUGUGGAUCCCCAGCUCCUGCCUCUCCAGAUCCAGCCUGAGACCUCGCUGAGCAGGCCUUGGCAGUGCAUUGCUUAUCCAGAGAGGAGCACAGUGGUUCCCGAGGGCGGGAUCCCCCUCAGCUUGGCCUGCGGGCCCUCGGAACUCGGGGGAGCCCUCAGCACUGUGCGCUGGAGGUGAAGGAAGCUGGUGACGGGAGCGGCUGGAAGGACCCGGGAGGCCCUGGCAGCGGCGGCAUGGAGGGCCCAGGGGUCGGGAUGGGGUGAGCUGAGCCACCACACCAUGCUCAGUCGUCAGCCAUGGUCUUGGGGGGACUCAGACCCUGGCUCUGACUGUUUCCCCAUGUGUCAAGUGGAUUGAUUUUUUUUUUUGGCACAGGAGAUCACUCUCAGGUCCUUGUGCUUGCGAGGCAGGUGAUGGCACCACUGAGCUAAAUCCCCCGCCCCUAUCAAUUUGUUUGUUUGUUUGUUUUUUGAGACAAAGGUUUCACUGUAAUUCAGGCCAGCCUUGAAAUCACAGUUGUCCUCCUGCCUCAGCCUCCUGAGUUCUGGGAUUAUAAACAGGCACUACCAUGCCCCCUCCUUUUCUGUCUUGUUUGCCUUCUGCAGUUAUUUGAUCUUGUGGCCCCU
ensembl:lincRNA